GCCAGGUGUGGUGGCGGGUGCCUGUAAUCCCAGCUAGUUGGGAGGCUGAGGCAGGAGAAUGGUGUGAACCCAGGAGGCGGAGCUUGCAGUGAGCCGAGAUUGCGCCACUGCACUCCAGCCUUGGCCUCCCAAAGUGCUGGAAUUACAGGUGUGAGCCACCACAUCUGGUGGUGGUGCCACACACUUUUUUGUUUGUUUGUUUUUGAGACGGAGUCUCACUCUGUCACCCAGGCUGGAGUGCAGGGGCGUGAUCUCAGCUCACUACAACCUCCGCCUCCUGGGUUCAAGCCAUUCUCCUGCCUCAG
ensembl:misc_RNA Metazoa_SRP Metazoan signal recognition particle RNA